rnacentral:rRNA from 1 species
UGGGGAAUUUUGCACAAUGGGGGAAACCCUGAUGCAGCGACGCCGCGUGAUUUAGAAGGCCUUCGGGUUGUAAAAAUCUUUUCUAUGGGAAGAAAAUGACAGUACCAUAGGAAUAAGGACCGGCUAAUUACGUGCCAGCAGCCGCGGUAAUACGUAAGGUCCAAGCGUUGUCCGGAAUCAUUGGGCGUAAAGGGUACGUAGGCGGGUAAGCAAGUUAGAAGUGAAAUCCUAUAGCUCAACUAUAGUAAGCUUUUAAAACUGCUCAUCUUGAGGUAUGGAAGGGAAAGUGGAAUUCCUAGUGUAGCGGUGAAAUGCGCAGAUAUUAGGAGGAAUACAGGUGGCGAAGGCGACUUUCUGGCCAUAACCUGACGCUGAGGUACGAAAGCGUGGGUAGCAAACAGG